UGGAUUAGGCAUGCAAGUCGUACGGGAUAGGGGGGGCAACUCUCCGUGUACCGUGGCGUAAGGGCGAGCAAUGCAUGGUUAACUUACCCCCGAGAGAGGGAUAACCCAUCGAAAGAUGGUGUAAUACCUCGUGAUGUCCGGGACUGAAAUGUCCCGGACCAAAGGUGGCCUCUGCUGUGUCAAGCUGCCGUUCGGGGAGAGGGCCAUGUCCUAUCAGCUAGUUGGCGGGGUAACGGCCCACCAAGGCGAUGACGGGUACCCGGCCUUAGAGGGUGGUCGGGCGCAUCGGAAGUGAGAUACUGUCCGGACUCCUACGGGAGGCUGCAGUCGAGAAUCUUCGGCAAUGGGCGAAAGCCUGACCGAGCGACGCCGCGUGUGGGAUGAAGGCCUUCGGGUUGUAAACCGC
rnacentral:rRNA from 1 species